GACGAACGCUGGCGGCGUGCUUAACACAUGCAAGUCGAACGGAAAGGCCCUGCUUUUGUGGGGUGCUCGAGUGGCGAACGGGUGAGUAACACGUGAGUAACCUGCCCUGGACUUUGGGAUAACUUCAGGAAACUGGGGCUAAUACCGGAUAGGAGCUCCUGCUGCAGGGUGGGGGUUGGAAAGUUUCGGCGGUUGGGGAUGGACUCGCGGCUUAUCAGCUGGUUGGUGGGGUAGUGGCUUACCAAGGCUUUGACGGGUAGCCGGCCUGAGAGGGUGACCGGCCACAUUGGGACUGAGAUACGGCCCAGACUCCUACGGGAGGCAGCAGUGGGGAAUAUUGCACAAUGGGCGGAAGCCUGAUGCAGCAACGCCGCGUGCGGGAUGACGGCCUUCGGGUUGUAAACCGCUUUCGCCUGUGACGAAGCGUGAGUGACGGUAAUGGGUAAAGAAGCACCGGCUAACUACGU
rnacentral:rRNA from 1 species